UUCUGAGAAUGCUGCCAGUGGUCAAAGCCUCCAACAAAGCUCUUCUGCUGCUGGACGCUGUCAGGCCCAUGAAGCUCUGCUGUAAAGGCUUCCAUGUCCCAGGCUUCACCUUUACCUGUGACCAAUGGGAGGCGUGGCCAAAACAGCGAUGGGGAGUGGAGCAGCAGGUAGGAGAGAUGGAUCCAGGCCCUGGAUGACUCCUGGAGACACAUGACCAACACUAGGCUGCCUUCAUCCAUCCUUUCCUCCUUCAUUGAGACUCUGAGUCAGAAUCAGCAUGUAUGUAACAGGGUGGGG